rnacentral:rRNA from 1 species
GAUGAACGCUGGCGGCAUGCCUAAUACAUGCAAGUCGAGCGAACGGACGAGAAGCUUGCUUCUCUGAUGUUAGCGGCGGACGGGUGAGUAACACGUGGAUAACCUACCUCUAAGACUGGGAUACCUUCGGGAAACCGGAGCUAAUACCGGAUAAUAUUUUGAACCGCAUGGUUCAAAAGUGAAAGACGGUCUUGCUGUCACUUAUAGAUGGAUCCGCGCUGCAUUAGCUAGUUGGUAAGGUAACGGCUUACCAAGGCAACGAUGGAUAGCCGACCUGAGAGGGUGAUCGGACACACGGGAACUGAGACAGGGUCCAGACUCCUACGGGAGGCAGCAGUAGGGAAUCUUCCGCAAUGGGCGAAAGCCUGACGGAGCAAAGCGGCGGGAGGGAUGAAGGUCUUCGGAUCGGAAAGCUCUGUUAGUAGGGAAGAACAAAUGUGUAAGUAACUGUGCACAUCUUGACGGUACCGAAUCAGAAAGCCACGGCUAACUACGUG